AGUGGAAUUGUUGGGUUAUAUGGUAAUACUAUGUUUAACAUUUUGAGAAACUUCCAAAUUGUUUUCCAAGGUAGCUGCUCCAUUUUACAUUCCCACCAUCAAU
rnacentral:pre_miRNA from 1 species